ACAGUCACACAUUAGAUACCCGUGUAGUCCUAGCCGUAAACUAUGCGCGUUAGGUGUAUCGGUGACCACGAGUCACCGAGGUGCCGAAGGGAAACCGUGAAACGUGCCGCCUGGGAAGUACGGUCGCAAGGCUGAAACUUAAAGGAAUUGGCGGGGAGCACCACAACGGGUGGAGCCUGCGGUUUAAUUGGACUCAACGCCGGGAAGCUCACCGGAUAAGACAGCGGAAUGAUUGCCGGGCUGAAGACUCUGCAUGACUAGCUG
rnacentral:rRNA from 1 species